GUAGUCCACGCUGUAAACGAUGUGCACUUGGUGUAGGGACGAACGUUUCUGUGCCGGAGCUAACGCGUUAAGUGCACCGCCUGGGGAGUAUGCUCGCAAGGGUGAAACUCAAAGGAAUUGACGGGGGCCCGCACAAGCGGUGGAGCAUGUGGUUUAAUUCGACGCAACGCGAAGAACCUUACCUGGAUUUGACAUCCUCUGACCUCCAUGGAAACAUGGCUUUUUAUGCUUGCAUAAACAGAGUGACAGGUGCUGCAUGGCUGUCGUCAGCUCGUGUCGUGAGAUGUUGGGUUAAGUCCCGCAACGAGCGCAACCCUUGUUUUUAGUUGCCAUUAUUAAGUUAGGCACUCUAGAAAUACUGCCUCGGUUAACGGGGAGGAAGGUGGGGAUGACGUCAAGUCCUCAUGGCCUUUAUAUCCAGGGCUACACACGUGCUACAAUGGGCUGUACAAAGAGUUGCCACUUCGCGAGAAGGAGCUAAUCUCAAAAAGCAGUUCUCAGUUCGGAUUGGAGUCUGCAACUCGACUCCAUGAAGUUGGAAUCGCUAGUAAUCGUGGAUCAGCAUGCCACGGUGAAUACGUUCCCGGGUCUUGUACACACCGCCCGUCACACCACGAAAGUCGGCUGUACCAGAAGUUGCUGGGCUAACCCUUCGGGGAUGCAGGUACCUAAGGUACGGUCGGUAAUUGGGGUG
rnacentral:rRNA from 1 species